CCUACGGGGGGCUGCAGUGGGGAAUAUUGGACAAUGGGCGAAAGCCUGAUCCAGCCAUGCCGCGUGUGUGAAGAAGGCCUUCGGGUUGUAAAGCACUUUCAGUGGGGAAGAAAGCCUUGGGGCUAAUACCCUCGAGGAAGGACAUCACCCACAGAAGAAGCACCGGCUAACUCCGUGCCAGCAGCCGCGGUAAUACGGAGGGUGCGAGCGUUAAUCGGAAUUACUGGGCGUAAAGCGCGCGUAGGCGGUCUGAUAAGCCGGUUGUGAAAGCCCCGGGCUCAACCUGGGAACGGCAUCCGGAACUGUCAGGCUAGAGUGCAGGAGAGGAAGGUAGAAUUCCCGGUGUAGCGGUGAAAUGCGUAGAGAUCGGGAGGAAUACCAGUGGCGAAGGCGGCCUUCUGGACUGACACUGCCGCUGAGGUGCGAAAGCGUGGGUAGCAAACAGGAUUAGAUACCCGGGUAGUC
rnacentral:rRNA from 1 species